UACGUAGGGUGCGAGCGUUAAUCGGAAUGAUUGGGCGUAAAGGGUGCGCAGGCGGUUUGCAAAGACGGAUGUGAAAGCCCUAGGCUUAACCUAGGAAUGGCAUACGUGACUGGCAAACUAGAAUAUGGCAGAGGGAGGUGGAAUUCCACGUGUAGCAGUGAAAAUGCGUAGAGAUGUGGAGGAACACCGAUGGCGAAGGCAGCCUCCUGGGUCGAAUAUUGACGCUCAGGCACGAAAGCGUGGGAGCAAACAGG
rnacentral:rRNA from 1 species